GACGAACGCUGGCGGCGUGCUUAACACAUGCAAGUCGAACGGAAGGGCCCUGCUUGCAGGGUACUCGAGUGGCGAACGGGUGAGUAACACGUGGGUGAUCUGCCCUGCACUUCGGGAUAAGCCUGGUAAACUGGGUCUAAUACCUGAUAGGAGCCAUUUUUAGUGUGAUGGUUGGAUAGUUUUUUCGGUGUAGGAUGAGCUCGCGGCCUAUCUGCUUGUUGGUGGGGUAAUGGCCUACCAAGGCGGCGACGGGUAGCCGGCCUGAGAGGGUGGACGGCGACACUGGGACUGAGAUGCGGCCGAGAUGCCUACGGGAGGCAGCAGUGGGGAAUAUUGCACAAUGGGCGCAAGGCUGAUGAAGCGGGGCUGCGUGGCGGAUGACGGCCUUCGGGUUGUAAACUCAUUUCGAUAGGGACGAAGCUUUUUGUGACGGUACCUAGAUAAGAAGCCCCGGCUAACUACGUG
rnacentral:rRNA from 1 species